rnacentral:rRNA from 1 species
ACUCCUGCGGGAGGCAGCAGUGGGGAAUAUUGGACAAUGGGCGCAAGCCUGAUCCAGCCAUGCCGCGUGAGUGAUGAAGGCCCUAGGGUUGUAAAGCUCUUUCACCGGUGAAGAUAAUGACGGUAACCGGAGAAGAAGCCCCGGCUAACUUCGUGCCAGCAGCCGCGGUAAUACGAAGGGGGCUAGCGUUGUUCGGAUUUACUGGGCGUAAAGCGCACGUAGGCGGACUAUUAAGUCAGGGGUGAAAUCCCGGGGCUCAACCCUGGAACUGCCUUUGAUACUGGUAGUCUUGAGUUCGAGAGAGGUGAGUGGAAUUCCGAGUGUAGAGGUGAAAUUCGUAGAUAUUCGGAGGAACACCAGUGGCGAAGGCGGCUCACUGGCUCGAUACUGACGCUGAGGUGCGAAAGCGUGGGGAGCAAACAGGAUUAGAUACCCUUGUAGUCCCAUG